rnacentral:rRNA from 1 species
GCUCUCUGGGUGGCGAGUGGCGGACGGGUGAGGAAUACAUCGGAAUCUACUUUUUCGUGGGGGAUAACGUAGGGAAACUUACGCUAAUACCGCAUACGACCUACGGGUGAAAGCAGGGGACCUUCGGGCCUUGCGUGAUUGAAUGAGCCGAUGUCGGAUUAGCUAGUUGGCGGGGUAAAGGCCCACCAAGGCGACGAUCCGUAGCUGGUCUGAGAGGAUGAUCAGCCACACUGGAACUGAGACACGGUCCAGACUCCUACGGGAGGCAGCAGUGGGGAAUAUUGGACAAUGGGCGCAAGCCUGAUCCAGCCAUACCGCGUGGGUGAAGAAGGCCUUCGGGUUGUAAAGCCCUUUUGUUGGGAAAGAAAUCCAGCCGGCUAAUACCUGGUUGGGAUGACGGUACCCAAAGAAUAAGCACCGGCUAACUUCGUGCCAGCAGCCGCGGUAAUACGAAGGGUGCAAGCGUUACUCGGAAUUACUGGGCGUAAAGCGUGCGUAGGUGGUUGUUUAAGUCUGUUGUGAAAGCCCUGGGCUCAACCUGGGAACUGCAGUGGAAACUGGACAACUAGAGUGUGGUAGAGGGUAGCGGAAUUCCCGGUGUAGCAGUGAAAUGCGUAGAGAUCGGGAGGAACAUCCAUGGCGAAGGCAGCUACCUGGACCAACACUGACACUGAGGCACGAAAGCGUGGGGAGCAAA